GACGAACGCUGGCGGCGUGCCUAAUACAUGCAAGUCGAACGCAGUUGGGACGGGUGAGUAACACGUGGGUAACCUCCCAUCAGAGGGGAUAACACUUGGAAACAGGUGCUAAACCGAUACUGGAGGAUGGACCCGCGGUGCAUUAGCUAGUUGGUGAGGUAACGACUCACCAAGGCCACGAUGCAUAGCCGACCAGGGAGGGGGAUCGGCCACGCUGGGACUGAAACACGGCUCAGACCAAUACGGGAGGCAGCAAUGUGGAAUCUGCGGCAAUGGACGUAAGUCUGACCAAGCAACGCCGCGUGAAUGAAGAAGGUUUUAGGAGCGUAAAACUCUGUUGUUAGAGAAACGGUAUCUAACCAGAAAGCCACGGCUAACUACGUGCCAGCAGCCGCGGUAAUAC
rnacentral:rRNA from 1 species